rnacentral:tRNA from 1 species
GAGGUUGUGGCUCAGUGGUAGAGCGCUCGCCUAGCACGUGUGAGGUCUUGGGUUCGAUCCUCAGCACCACA